CAUAACAUCCAAAUUUCGGUUAAAGCAAGCGUGUAUGUGAAAUACCGGAACUGUGUCGUAGACACGUCGUAGCAAAAACAUCUAAAAUAUUGAAUUUUGGAAUGGUGUUUCUUCUAAGUAAGAAAAUAUACAUAUAGUAUGGCGAUUCUCCAUUUCACGAAUUGUUGCAAAGUGACCAUGAAUACCAAGUUCACCAGGACGGAACCCAAUCCUUGUUACAUUAUGCUGCCUAUUGAACAGUGUCUCAGGUGAAAUCUACCGAUCCAUCAAUAAGUGGGAAGUCGAUGUACAAUCAUUCAGCGGAACACGAUGUGUAUUAAAUGGCCGGAACAUAAAAUGCUAUCACUGCUGGAUUUAUGAGGUCUUAAUUCUACAAAUAAUCGUGCGCGGAUAUUUAUUAGGCGUUACAUCACUGGAUCGCCGGAAUUGAAUCAAAUUUAUCAGUUAGGCCUAUGUUUUUUAUACAACGAACAAGUAAUUCUCAAACAUUACAUACUUAAAUAUAAUUAGGCCUAAGCAUUAUUAUAUUAUAUUAUAUUAUACUAUAUAAAACUAGAAUCUUUAUA